rfam:Triticum aestivum genome assembly, contig: Triticum_aestivum_CS42_TGACv1_scaffold_499629_6BL
UUAGUACUCCCUCCGUCCCAAAACUCUUGUCUUAGAUUUGUCUAGAUACAUCUGUAUCUAACAUGGUGUUAGAUACAUCCGUAUCUAGACAAAUCUAAAACAAGAAUUUUGGAACGGAUGGAGUACAAA